GCGUUUCUGCGGUGUGCGCCAGCACACUGUGACAUUUGCCUUGUUCCUAAAUACGACCCCGGGUCGGUUCAUCAUGGUUGUUGUGCAUGUCCGCCAUGAGCGGAAAGCCUGGUCAGCCAUGGAGCCCUCCCACCUGAUCCCUCUGGAUCAAGGUCGUUCGGUGGGCAGCGGCACCGCGGUGACGCC
rnacentral:other from 1 species